UCUUGACUUACAUCUUUACAUUCGAAGGGAUCAAUUGUUUUUUGAGGACUUUAUUCUCCUGUCAUAGAACAAGAUGUUUGACGAAUUAAAACACAUUUUACCUUUCUUUACAUUCUUCACCCUUUAAUAAUUUAGUUUGACCUUUCUCACAUCCUUCAUACUUUUCACCCUUAAAAUUGAGUAAUUUAGUGCUGAAACCGAACAUGUUUACCGAACAAAUACCUUAAUUUUCUGACAUUCUAAAUGAACAUAAAUGUAGCGUCAGAUUUACUUGAAGUUUGGUGACAUCUCGUGGUAAAAAAGGGUAACUAGCAAUUGAUACCGAAGUGCUCGUCUUCAACUCUUUUUUUACACGGCCUGCGUACAAAAUCUUCACCCCUCUUCAUUCUCCAUUACAUUGAAAGAGAACAAGUAAAAAGGUGCAUUGUGGGCGAAGGUUUUGAUGAGUGGAGGGGGGAGAACCUGGACAGCUGAGUGAAAAGUUAACAACUAAAACAGCAUUCAAGGAAGUGGAAAGAGAUCCUUGCUCAAGGAGAACUUUCUACAUUCACACCAGAUGAAAAUAACAGUUUUUCUGGAUGGAAAUGUUGAUGCAAGCCUUGGCUUUGAAGGAUCACAUUUCUAAAAGACGCACAUCUGCCAUCCUCCACGCUGAUGGAUGGACCAGCACUCGGCGAACAUGGUCUUGUGAUCACCCCGGGAAGAAACUGCGCCCAAUAUGCAACCUGUGAACUGCAAUUGCCUCACCCUUUUAUGAUUUGUAGUUGCCAUGUAGGUUUACAACCCUGUUGUAUUCCUUUAUAGUGCACUUUGAUGCCUCUCGUGCAUUUC